GACGAAGGGAACGUCAUCGUUUGGAAAGCGUCGCAAUAAGACGCACACGUUGUGCCGCCGCUGUGGCUCUAAGGCCUACCACCUUCAGAAGUCGACCUGUGGCAAAUGUGGCUACCCUGCCAAGCGCAAGAGAAAGUAUAACUGGAGUGCCAAGGCUAAAAGACGAAAUACCACCGGAACUGGUCGAAUGAGGCACCUAAAAAUUGUAUACCGCAGAUUCAGGGUUUCACUAUGUUGCCCAAGCUUGAGUGUAGUGGCACGAUCACGGCUCAUUGCAGCCUCAAUCUCCCCAGCCUCAGGCAUGGAUUCCGUGAAGGAACAACACCUAAACCCAAGAGGGCAGCUGUUGCAGCAUCCAGUUCAUCUUAAGAAUGUCAACGAUUAGUCAUGCAAUAAAUGUUCUAGUUUUAAAAAAUAUGUAUCUG
rnacentral:sRNA from 1 species